rnacentral:rRNA from 1 species
CAAAUGACUCUCGGCAACGGAUAUCUCGGCUCACGCAUCGAUGAAGAACGUAGCAAAAUGCGAUACUUGGUGUGAAUUGCAGAAUCCCGUGAACCAUCGAGUUUUUGAACGCAAGUUGCGCCCGAAGCCUUCUGGUCGAGGGCACGUCUGCCUGGGCGUC